GACAGAGGUGCCGAGCGUUAGGCGGAAUCACUGGGCUUAAAGCGCGUGUAGGUGGCGGCCUAAGUACCUUGUGAAAUCCUGCGGCUCAACCGCAGAACUGCUUGGUAUACUGGGUCGCUUGAGACAUUCAGGGGCAACUGGAACAAGCGGUGGAGCGGUGAAAUGCGUAGAGAUCGGAAGGAACGCCCGUGGCGAAAGCGGCUACCUGGCCCAUUCUUGACGCUGAGGCGCGAAAGCUAGGGGAGCAAACGGG
rnacentral:rRNA from 1 species